GAAGUACUCCCUCCGUUCAGAAUUACUUGUCACAAAAAGGAUGUAUCUACAACUAAAAUACAUCUAGAUACAUUCAUUUCUUGGACGAGUAAUUCCAAACGGAGGGAGUAUAAU
rnacentral:pre_miRNA from 1 species